rnacentral:lncRNA from 1 species
GACCAAUGGAAUUUACACUCUCACAGUGGAAGUCUGAAAUCCAGGGGCUAGCAAACCCAUGCUCCUUCUGAAGGUUCUGGGGAAAGGUGUGUGGGCCAGAUCUUUUACUUCUCCAUUGUAAUAGCCUCAGAUGUUCCUUGUCUCAUGGAAAGUCGCUAUCUCCCUGAGUCAUUUCCUGGCAUCUCUCCUCUACCCAAGGACUCACCUCCAAUGACUUACUUUAGCCAGGAAGCCCUAUCUUCUAAAGGUUCUGCAGUCUCUCAAGUCAAUAUCACUAGAUGGGGAUCAAGUAUCCAAUCACAGGAGCCUAUGGGACAAUCCAGGUCAAGCAACUGUGUACCAAAAUUGUGAGUCAAGAGAAAUCUUUCCUCCAUCGAAAUUGAUGAUCGCAGGCGUUUUGUCCCAGUGACUGAAAGCUUACUGCUGCAGCGCUUCCUGGUCCUUCCCUUGACUUCAGUCUCCAGCCUCACAUUCACGUGUGAGACCAGCAAAACCACUCAGCAUGCUGACUUGGGCAAUUUAGAUCCAGCAAAAAGAAAAAAUUAAAGGCCCCUCUCUGGUGUGUUCUCACCUGUAUGCCCAUGAAAUCUCGGAACCACAAGGAUGAGCAAUGGUACCCAUCUACCCAUCUAGCUCGAAGCAGAGCAAACAAAGGAUGCUGCAAAUGGUGGUCACCGCUGCUGUGAUUAUCUUUAAAGAAAUGUGGACCUCGGCUAAGGGCUUUCCACAGAACCUGGGGUUCACUGCUUCAGCUGAGCUGACUGGCUAAUAACCUCAAGAGAUCCUCUCACCUCUCCACCAAGUGCUGUGGUCCUCAGACACUGCUGUGCACAGCGCCUAC